rnacentral:other from 1 species
UACCCUGCGGUGUGCGCAAUUACGGAUUUAUUUUAACCAACACAUCUACUACGGGAGAUUGCAUAGAGCUGUGGCGUGUAAGCCCUUACCUACGGGUCAGAGGGAAACCCAGGAGCAGCUCCGAGAUCACCCACCUGCUCACGCAGGUUUAGAAUAUUCCGAAAUAAACGGCACUGCGGGGUU